rnacentral:rRNA from 1 species
AGUGAACGCUGGCGGCGUGCCUAAUACAUGCAAGUCGAACGGAGUGGCGCACGGGUGAGUAAUCUAUAGCUAACUUGCCCAUUACUAAGGGACAACAGUUGGCAACGACUGUUAAUACCUCAGAGUAAUGGAUAGGGCUUUACCGUAUCAGCUAGAUGGUAAGGUAACGGCUUACCAAGGCUAUGACGCGUAACUGGUCGGAGAGGAUGAUCAGUCAAACUUGAACUGAGACACCGUCGAGGCUCCUACGGGAGGCAGCAGUAGUGGAUAGUGGUCAAUGGGGGAAUCCCAGGAGCAGCAACGCCGCGUGGAGGAUGACACUUGUCGGAGCGUAAACUCCUUUUCUUGGGAAAGCGGUACCCAAGGAAUAAGCACCGGCUAACUCCGUGCCAGCAGCCGCGGUAAUUC